rnacentral:rRNA from 1 species
AACGAACGCUGGCGGCAUGCCUAACACAUGCAAGUCGAACGAGACCUUCGGGUCUAGUGGCGCACGGGUGCGUAACGCGUGGGAACCUGCCCUUAGGUUCGGAAUAACUCCCCGAAAGGGGUGCUAAUACCGGAUAAUGUCUUCGGACCAAAGAUUUAUCGCCUUUGGAUGGGCCCGCGUUGGAUUAGCUAGUUGGUAGGGUAAAAGCCUACCAAGGCGACGAUCCAUAGCUGGUCUGAGAGGAUGGUCAGCCACACUGGGACUGAGACACGGCCCAGACUCCUACGGGAAGCAGCAGUGGGGAAUAUUGGACAAUGGGCGAAAGCCUGAUCCAGCAAUGCCGCGUGAGUGAUGAAGGCCUUAGGGUUGUAAAGCUCUUUUACCCGGGAUGAUAAUGACAGUACCGGGAGAAUAAGCUCCGGCUAACUCCGUG